GCCAUGAGGAGCAACCAGUAAACAGGACUUUUCCAACCCCCACAGUAGGACAAAUGAGUGAGAUGCAAUCAUUUGAAGUGAUGAAACAAAAGCUGUUCAAUGAGCCUCUGGAGAGAUGAAAGGCAAAAGAGAAAGGCCUUCGGCUAAAGACUUCAUGGCUGGGAAACCCACAAUUUUUAUGCAGAGGUCCUUACUGCUGUGGGAUUCCAAAGGAGAAAGCAGUGCAUUUUUCAUGAAAACAAAAAUGAAAUAAAACAAACCAAAUCUCUCAGAAGAUAGAAGUGAGAUGGGUUCCGAGGACAAAUUGAUUAAUUUAUAAGUGAUCAAUAUUGAUGAAUUUAUCUGGUCUACUAUGGAAGAACUCAGUAAAUGGAAGACCCUCAAAGUCUGCAGAUUCUAGCAAGAAAUGCUCUGUGAUAUUUUUCUACAGGUUCAUGAGCUAAAAAUGACAGUGGACAUUCAAGUGUGGUGUCCAGUGAGACAACUCAUCACUGGCUUCAAGUAGGGAUCUGAGUUUACUCACAGUAUCUAUUCAUGGUGAUGGAUCCUGUGACCAUUGGAUCAAAAGUUUCUCCAUUUAAGAAAACCAAACUUUCAUCUGAGAGAGGAGGCAGUUUACUAUAUGAUGGGUACCCGUCUGGGCUCUAACAAUGUAUUUGGACUUCUGUUGGGGAAAUCUGAGUUUGUUGUCUAUCUUGCAGCCUUUGAUUAAGGUCCAGGACCAUUUAUGCCUUCAGAAUCCCGUUAGUAACUUUCUCAAGGGCUUGCAACGGAGGAAAGCAGCAGGUGUCAGGGAGGUACCCACUUGCUAUGUACAGUCUUGCUAAUUUGUUUUUUCUAGGAAUGUCCCAUGGACAACAGUAGCCACCAUAGAAGUUAAUUACAAUUUUACCUUUUUAUUUAUUUAUAAGUUUUGCUAUUAGUUGAACUAGCAAAUGGUUCAAUAGUAAAUUAUCUUGCAGUUCUUGUGUAAUGAAACAAUACAAGCUUUGUAGUAUUAGUAUACAUGUGGGUUUUCAUAUAUCUACUAAGCUGGAGAUAGAUUUCAUUAUUCAACAUUUACAUAACAGAAAGUGAGCUUUUAUUAUUUUCCAAUUAAAUAUUAUACCUAUUACAGUUUUCUUUCUUUUUUUUUUUUUUAGAAAACAGACUAGUAUAAAGUGAGAAUUAACAUCAGUAAGCUGGCAAACUUUACUAGAUUAUUAUUAGAUAUAAUCAACGUGAAGAUCCAAGGAGCCAAGUGAAUGAAAGAAUUUCUAAACUAUAAAACCGUGUUAGCAUUCUGAAAAGUUACUUGACCAAUAUAUGGUUGUGCAUAUCAUCUGCUGUGUUCUGAAAACAACUCUUGGUGCUUGAAAAAAUGAAAACUAAACUGGUUAGUGAUGCUACAUGGCUUUAAUCUCAGGAAUUGAGAGGCAGAGGCAGGCAGGCUCUGUGAGUUUAAGGCCAGCCUGGUCUAUGGAAAGAGUUCCAGGACAGCCAAAGCAAGACAGAGAAAUCCUGUCUUCCAAAACAAACAAACUAACUAAAACCAACCAAACAAAAAAGGUAAAAACAUAGCUGAAAGGUUUGAUUUUUAUUCUCAAAUAUUUUUAUGGUCAAGGAAACUGAUCCAACAUUUGUGUAGUGCAGAGUCCAAGAUAGUGCUUGCUCCAAAGUCAGUUCCACCAGGAGAAUGGGAUGUCUAUGGCACACUCUAUAGGUUAAUAUAUGGGGAGGCUGAAAGGACUGAAAGUAAUUAGAGGAAGCUUAAAAUAAUGAUGUUUUAGGUUAUGCCUAUUUCUAAAAUGUCCCCUUCCUUCCAUGUCACUCGUCACAUCCUUAUUUACCAGCUUAGCUGUUCUAGUGUCUAUGACCUCAUUGGCCCGCUCUUACAGAUUCAUCACUUCCUUAUCUGGCAUCCAGCCUGGAAUAACACACAUUUUAUUACUGAGAAUAUCCCAUUAUGUCAAAUCAAUAAAGGAAUUAUCAUUUUCGAAGGGAGAUGGAGCUACGCUGUAGUAUGUUUCAUUGCUUUCUGCCUCCCUGACUGGGCAAGUCACUUAACAGUCUUGAGUCUGAGCAAGUCUUAGCUGUAAAUGAUAAUGAUGACAUUAUGAACAUUAAAUAUAGUGUUCACACAUGUCCUGCAUAGAGGAAACACCUCAGAAAUGUCAUUCAUUGUUAAUUUUUAUGGAUAUAUUAUCCCUGUUAGAUGGUCUUUCACUCUCAUUAUGUUCUUCUUUAGCUAAUGGAAACUGGCAUGUAGACCAGGUACAUAGGAAGUACCUGAUAAAUAUUUGAACCAGUAAGCAUAUAGGAAACAAAAAAAAAAAAAAAGAGAGAGAAAUUAGAAGCGAUAUUUUGUGUGAGGGAAUGGUGUAGAAGAGUUGAAAGGGACAAGAAAUUAGAAAUCUCUCUGAUCUUACCAGAGGAAAGUCUUGCAGAGCAUGUUCAGUUUGAUUGGCUAGUGAACUACAAGUUGGCACAUUCAGGUUCAAUGGUAUCUGCUAUGGAAAGGAGUGUGGGGAUAUAGUGUUUUGGGAGACAAUGAUAUACUAAAAAGUAUGAGUAAUGGAUAUUUUUAGAAAACCAGAUUCAUCCCUAUGAACCCCGGUGAUGGUUGGUCUUAAUGUUAAUUUGUCAGGAAUUACAAUCAUGUGAGUAGGGAGUUUCACCUGAAGGAUUGCCCUGAUUGUCUCAGUGGGUGAGAAAAAACCUACUCCAUUGUGAAUGGUUCCUUCUGGGAGCUGCCUAGAUAAACAGAGAGCCUGGCACUGGGAACAUUGUUCUCCUUUGUCCAUACCUUCAGACAACAAGUGGGUUUCCCAUUGCAGCCAUGGCUUAUGUCUCCAGGGAUCGCAGAACCAGCAUUUCCAGGCUUCAUCACUGACCAAGGACUAGCCAUUCUCCGGGAAUGUUUAAGGUUUGCAUCUCCAGGUUAGGACUUGCUGUGGCACCAGCCUCUGGGACUGAGUGAGUGCUGGGUUGUGGGCUUCUGGUGUGAGACCAUGAGUGUGGGAUUCACUCCAAUUGCAGGUGUACCAGCCUUCAGUACUGAGUCACUGUGGGCCUCUCUGCUUCCAACCUGAUUUAAGACAUUCUUUUUACUAUCUAGCUAUAGGUUCUGCUGCUCUGGAGAACACUGACCUACUCAAACACUAAUGACUUUAACAUGUUAACAUUUUUAUUUGUUUAUAUAUGUGUGUGUUCACUACACCCCAAGGUUUUGAAAAAAACUUGUCAUACUGUGUAUAGCCAUGUGAUAAGGAGAUAUUUUUGAGAAGGGAGGACUAGAGAAAAGUUUCACUUUGUUGCAUAGGCUGGCCUUGAACUUGGGGUUAUCCUUCUGCUACAACUUUUCAAGUACUAGGCUUAAAGGCAGAAUCCACAAAACUCAGCAUAAAGAAGAUUCAGAGAAGAUAGUCUAUUCUGAUGAAACGUAAGGGUGCCUUAAAGAUGAUGAUUCAUGACUUUAGAAUAGCCAUAAAUCUUUGAGGAAUGAGCAAACCAAAAUUAGGAACAUAUGUCCCCUCUGCUCUUGGAAUGGUACUUCCACGAGAGUCACCAGGAGUUAAAUGGAAUGAUGACAAGCCACAUAUGGCACCAGAUCUGUGCUAAAUUAAUAACAGUAUGAGAACACAGUUAAACAGUGAUAAUCCCCUUGUUAUCCAGUGUCUUUUCCCUUUCCAACAACCUCACAGUACAUCGUUAAACACGCAAAAGACACUUGUUAAUGGGGACAGCUGACAUGCGAGGAGAAACCAUGUGGCCUAUCUUUUGAAACAAGCUGAAGAGGCUGAUUUGGGCUUCUUCAUUCACAGGACUGCAGAGGAGUCAUUUGGAGAUCAAAAAAUGAGGCUAAACCUGACUAGCUUGAGGCACUCCAUCUGGCUCUGCCCCAUGCUGUUGCCAUAGCCACCCAUCUCCUAGCAACAAUGAAUAGCAUUUUCAUGUCUCUACAGUGACAAAGCAUGAGAGUGAAAAACAUAAGUAUGGCCACAAUACACUAAUAAUCUUAGAGGUUAUCUCAUAAAUUAAGUUCAAUCUGAGGAUCUGCAUGAAUAUUUGAUUUGGUGAUUAUAUUUUUCCUAUGGUAGUCUUUUGUCUUGGUUUAAAAUAAAGCAGCCUGACAGCCUGCUAUUAAAUAUAAGAUGACAAAUACCAUUACAACAGGCACAAUAAAGCUAAACUUUAUUUUAAA
rnacentral:lncRNA from 1 species